UACGUAGGGGGCAAGCGUUGUCCGGAAUUAUUGGGCGUAAAGCGCGUGUAGGCGGUCCGCUAAGUCGGCUGUGAAAGUCCAGGGCUCAACCCUGGGAUGCCGGUCGAUACGGGCUAGCUAGAGUGUGGUAGGGGAGAUCGGAAUUCCUGGUGUAGCGGUGAAAUGCGCAGAUAUCAGGAGGAACACCGGUGGCGAAGGCGGAUCUCUGGGCCAUUACUGACGCUGAGGAGCGAAAGCGUGGGGAGCGAACAGG
rnacentral:rRNA from 1 species